rnacentral:ribozyme from 1 species
ACUGGUUCUGGUUCUGUAAAAGGGUUGGAUCCGACGCCUCUAGAAGGCUACUAUAGGCUCUCCUUCUCAACUCCUACUCAAUACGUCCACGUCGUGCAGAACGGUAACUUGUUGCUCAGAUCCAAGCUUGGGUACACGGGGAAACCCAACCCCUUGGGCGGAUGAGCGGCAAGGCAGAAUUGAGAGGU